rnacentral:rRNA from 1 species
UACAGAGGGUGCGAGCGUUGUCCGGAAUCACUGGGCGUAAAGCGCACGUAGGCGGCUUCUUAAGUCAGGGGUGAAAUCCUGGAGCUCAACUCCAGAACUGCCUUUGAUACUGAGGAGCUCGAGUCCGGGAGAGGUGAGUGGAACUCCGAGUGUAGAGGUGAAAUUCGUAGAUAUUCGGAAGAACACCAGUGGCGAAGGCGGCUCACUGGCCCGGUACUGACGCUGAGGUGCGAAAGCGUGGGGAGCAAACAGG